UACGGAGACUGCGAGCGUUACUCGGAUUUACUGGGCGUAAAGGGUGCGUAGGCGGCAAUGUGUGUCAGGUGUGAAAUCUUGGGGCUUAACCCCAAAAUUGCGCUUGAAACUGCAUUGCUAGAGUGUCGGAGGGGCAAGCGGAAUUUCGAGUGUAGCAGUGAAAUGCGUAGAUAUUCGAAGGAACGCCAAUAGCGAAGGCAGCUUGCUGGACGAUGACUGACGCUGAGGCACGAAAGCGUGGGGAGCGAAAAGGAUUAGAUACCCUUGUAGUCCACGCCGUAAACGUUGUACACUAGAUUUCGGGACAUUCGACCGUUUCGGAGUGCAAGCUAACGCGAUAAGUGUACCGCCUGAGGACUACGGCCGCAAGGCUAAA
rnacentral:rRNA from 1 species